GAUAAACGCUGGCGGCGUGCCUAAAACAUGCAAGUCGAACGGGCCUUCUGGCUACGGCUGGGGGGUCAGUGGCGGACGGCUGAGUAACACGUGGGUGACCUGCCCCCGAGCGGGGGAUAACCGCCCGAAAGGGUGGCUAAUACCGCAGACGUCAUCGGGUCGGACUGGUGACUGAACCGCUCUUCGGAGGGGGUUCGGGGAGGGGCCCGCGGCCGAUUAGCUAGUUGGGGGGGUGAGGGCCUCCCAAGGCGACGAUCGGUAGCUGGUCUGAGAGGAU
rnacentral:rRNA from 1 species